GAUCCCUGUGAUAUAAAUUAUAUACAUCUUAGGACUGAAAUGUACAUUUUUGAAAACUUGCAAUAUCAACCAUAACUUUGUCAAUGUUUCUCUACCACUGCAAAUUUUUUAAGAAGAAAGGAGGAAAGAAGUAGCAAUUACAGUAUAUGACCAGCCAGAGGAUUCUGGUUCUUCUGAAAGAAAGAUCACAUUAGAAUAGGCAGUUUGUGUGGCAUAGUGGUUAAGACUUUGGACUUCCUCGCCUGCAAUAGUGUAAAUCCCACUACUGACACUGUGCGACCUGCCUGUACUCCAAUUGAAAAAAGUAAAACAAAUGUGACCGGUUGCAUCUGAAAUGGUGUAAAUCACCUUGAAUAAAGGUGUCAGCCAAAAAAAAAAAAAAAGGAAAUGAAAAAUAACUUUAGAUAUUACACAUUUUGGUCCAAGAUGAAGCUAAGCUACAAUACCACUUGUGAUGUUCAUUGACUUCUGUGGAGCAAAUCCUCUUUUCAUUCCUUUAGUUAGGACCAGAACACUUUUACUUUGCAGUGAAGUUAAUUGAAUUGUUUAUUCAUUUCUUAUUUUUGCUUAGGGUAACUUUAAAAGUGUUUGUUUAUGAAAUAUAUUAGAUAAAUCUGGUGUGGAGUCAAAAUUUACUUUGAACAUUUCUGAUUACCAUCAUCUACAUAAAGGCAGAAAUGCUUAUCACUGUCUUGUACCUUAACAGUAUUAUGCAGGCAAUUCACACAAAUAUGAAAAAAAUAUAAAUAGAUGAAGAGUUUUCUUUUUAGAGAAGAAUUCUCUAAAUUGGCCUAAUCUAUCAUUUAAUUAUAUUAUAAUAUAUCAGUUUCAUCUACCAUUUAGUAUUAUAAUAUAUCAUAGGACUCACUGGAACACAGUCUUCAACAUGGAAUUCUGGACAAGUUGUUCUGCUUUCCAUCGUGACAUAUUGAUCUUCAAUCUUGAGGCACUCAUACCGAAUGCAUGUGUCAUUAGCAGGACUCCAGUACUGAUCAACCUGAAAAUCGAUGGCAGACAUUAGAGGCCCGGUGCUAUGCAUUUUAAAUACCACACAUUACUGUACACCCAUCUCUCUGUUUUUAGAACCUAUUUUUUUUUAAAUACAGAGUCAGAGGGAGUUGAAGCCCAGGUUGGAUGCAUUGGGUGCACAGCAAGAAUCAGUCCUGGACCAGAUGCAUGUCCAUCACUGGGCAAACUCAAGUACACACAGAUAAACACAGUGGGACUAUUUACAGUUGCAGGAUCUCAAGGACUAUCUAGAACAGUGGCACAGACUACCUAGAACCGCGCAAAGAAGAAGGAAGUCAUCAUGAUGCUUACCACAGCUAUAAAUGGGGCAGCAUUCAUCUGGAGAAGUCCUGAACACUGGCUUGAAUCCCAGUUCACAAUUGUCAGUUGGUUUGGGGCAGAGAGACAAAUCACAUUCUGUCCAAAGAGAAUGAAAACAAGAAGAAGAAUCAGAAAAUGAUGAAUAUGGAUAAGGAGCACUUUGGACUGAGAGAAGCCAAUAUCUAUCAAAAGCCUGAAGCAAACCUGGCCUGGUCACCAGUCCACCAAUGGGUGCAUUGAAGCACAAACUCAAAGUCACCCGUUGUCGGACAGUGUUAACAAACCUGAUUAAUCUAACAAGCAUGUCAUUAGGUUGUAGAAGGAAACUGGACACGAGUGAUAUGUGUGAACACCAAACAUUUGGAAACAAAGAUGCUAAGAGCUCUGAAGGUGUGACGCACGAGUGUGGAACAACAUCUACAGCAUUUACAUCUUUCAUAUUUACAAGGAAAAAUCUCUAGGAGAAUCUGUGAAAGCAUGCAAAAAAUCGACUAUUGUGCCUAAUGUUGGACUGUUUCUACCACCAAUCAAUGUGAACGCUCUUCUGUACAUAAUUGAUUUUCCAAUAUGGAACAAGACAGCAUAGAAAACAGCUGGAUUCUACAGGACACAGAGAAUGAAGAAUGAAUGCAUAAAGAAUUCAGAAAUGCAAGCCUUUGUGUGACUGACCCCCUCCAGCCACAUGCACAGUUGAUUCAGGUGGACGUUUAAUACUCAUCUCACUUUUGGAUAGUAAGAAGAUUAUAGGCACUUUCCAGAUAAAGUAUUGUAAAAGAGUUGAUUGGCUGACUUGGUUUAAAACUGUACAGAAUUAUUCUAGACUGAAAUUUUAUUUAAGUCCAUUUUCUUUGAAACAAAAUUUGGUGUCUAAUAGAAUAGCGGAGUAACAUUUUUUUUAUUUCUCAGCAUAAUCCUUUAUGGCCUUUUUGCCUGAUUUUGAAAUUGUGUAUAAUGUGCCUUACAUUAAGUUAAAUGAGUACUAAACAGUACUUCACAUGCACAGAUGUAUGUUUUGCUUGCUAAUUGUAUCAACAAAAUCAGAAUAGCAUUAGUGUUGUGUAUUAGACUGAAUUAAGUAUAAUAGUACAACAGUAAAUAUCAUUGUUUUGGUCUGCCAGAGACCUUCAAGCAAUAUUGGCCAUAAGAUGAUGGGGUGGCAAUUCAUCACAGGACCCUUUUACACCCAUGGGAACAAUCUGGAGUCAUAAAAAGUAUAUCUUUGUUUUGUAGAGAAGAAAAAUCCCAUUUAUUGGGAGAAUAUGCUCAAUAAAUAUUUUAGUUGGUAGGUAACAUACUCAACUAUUCCAGGUCUAAUUGAUCCAUUUAAUCUUUUACACAUUUUUAAUAAUAUUUGGUUUAAAUGUCCUUAGCUGCAAGCUUGAAAAUAUCUCUGAAUCACGGUUCUCCGUUUAUGUCUAGCUUAUGUGGAAUUGCCAAAUAAUUAUUGGCCUCCUCUUGAUUUGGUUCACUUAUUGACUUAACACUAGCACUGUCAGAAUCUGAUUGUUUGUGGUUCUAGAUAAAAGUUCUUAAAUGUCUUUACAAGUGACUUUACAGCAAAGGGCUUAUUUGUUUCUUCAACUUCUUUAUUGUACUAAUGUCACACUCCAGCUGAAUAAACAAAAAUAAAAAAGUCA